GACAUGAUGGCUGAGCGUAUAGGCGGUGGAUUGUAACCCCAAGAACAGAGGUUCGAGUCCUCUUCAUGUCA
rnacentral:tRNA from 1 species